ACUUUGAGCCUCGGCUUUCUCUUCUGACCCUAAGCUCUUUUUCCUUCAAGUUUCGGACGGACUAGCAAUUCAAUUAAGCUAAUUUUCGAAACCCUAAGAUUAAGUUUAUGAUAGAUUUAUACUAAGAGUUAUCUGCUCUGUAUCUAUGCGUCACUCUGCUGUAUUUAAAACCCUAAGUUUUUGCUUUCAUAUAUAUCUGAGGAAGACAUAUGACAACCGCUGCUAGACCCACAUGGCAGCCUGCCAAAGGUGAAAACGAAUAAGGUGAUACUCGGAUUUUUGGCCCAUCUCAGAAGUACUCAUCCAUGGACCUUGCUGCUCAUACUACUCUACUCUAAAGCAUAGGGCAGUCUCUUUUAAGACUUCUUUAUACUUCAUCAUAUCUAUAUGUGCGUGUUUCAUGGGCUGUUCUAACUUCAAACAUCAUGUUGGUGUUUUUUGUUUAAUUAGAGUAUCUAAUUGCUGUAGAUAGAAAGGUAAUGAUUGAAGCGGAAAAUGAUGCUGUGAAUAUGUAUUGUUGUUCUUGUGUUCUUCUCACGUGUUUACAAAGCCUUGGUUUUGGAGAAUUUCCAUAUUUAAAAUCCAUGCUUCUUGGCAUUUAGAGAUGCAUUAAGGUCCUAUGGUAUACUUGUAUUGCACCCAAGUUCAUUGUUUAUCUAUUUGUUUUUGCAUGUGUAAAAUGCAGAAAAGAUGGGCAGGACACACAAGACGAGUUGCAGAAGAGAAACCUCCGUGCUGAGCUUGAAGAGCGUGAACGGAGACAUUUCUCAUCAAAGGACAAAUCCAAGGAUGCUACUAACUGUUCUUUGUAUAUUGCAUGAAUUUUUUUCUAUUGAUAUGGUUUCCAAAGGUUACGGGUUGCGCAAAGGAGCUCAUGAUUUGAUGAUUCAUCUUGUUCACUUGGGGUCAUUUGGCCCAACAGAACUGACACAUUAUUUAGAGAGACUAAAGCUCCAUCUAUUUAGCCUGAUAAAUAUGUAAACACUCCAGUAAUUUGUAUUUAGAGGAUCUUAUAAAUCCCGUAAGAAUCUCAAGUUGUGCAUUGUCUUUAAUCUUAACCGGUGAUCUAUUUUAAACUAGACCAUUGGAUCAUGAUGAGCUCAAGUAUAAAUAGAACUCUUUCUUUCUUUUAUAAUCGUCCAGUUGUACUUCUUCAAAGUAAUAGAGAUUGUCAUAAGGAAACCAUCUUCUUUUGGAAGGGGCAAAGAGGGAGACUGAAGAUGGAUUUGUUCCACGCAGUAUUGAUGCCGAUGAUUCUGAUGUGGAGGUCAACAGUGAUGAAGCAAGUGAUGAUGAAGAAGCUCUAUUGGCUGAGCUUGAACGAAUAAAGAAAGAGAAAGCAGAGGAGAAACUCCGUGGGAUGAUGAUGUCGUCUUCAAGAACCAGGUUCGUGGUGAAACCAAGCCUCAAAAGUGCUUCAUUAAAGAUACCAUAAGGAAUGACUUUCACAGGAAAUUCCUGCUCAAAUACAUUAAGUAAUUCAUCACUUCAAUGCCAUAGCAAUUAGGGAAUGAAGUGGAUUUGAAGAUGCUGUAUUUUUUUUCUAGAAAACAUGAUGUAUAUAUCUCCUACGGCUAUGGCUGCUGUUGUAAAUAUACUAAAUGGUCAUUCAAAUGGCAAUGAUGUAUGCAUUCUUGAUUUGGUUGAGACUUAAUGAAAUACAAGCAGAGUUUUUUCAUUGA